AAAGAACUAAGAAGAAAAUCUAUUCCAGCACUUUGGAAUAAAAUUUUGUUCCCAAAAAUUAAUUUGUUUAUUUUAUUGAUAUAUAAAGAAAAUGUUAUUUAUUUAUUCAGCAAACAUUUAUUAAAUACCUAGUAAAUAUAUAGCCACUAUGUCAGGCACAGGAAUAAUAAUGAGAAUAAAGUGUGGUCCCUGCUCUGAAGUUGCUGACAAUCUAGGAGACUGACAAGUAAACCGGUGAUUACAUACACAGUAACAAAGGCUAUAAUACUAGAAUACACAUGGGACUAUGUGAUGGUAGUUUGGGUUUCACCAGUUCCUCUUGGAUUUAUCUCUUCUUCUUUGGCUCCAGAACCAAGGAAUUAGACCUAUUUUUGUCUUUAACUGGGUAGUUUAAAUCAUGAAAUUUUCAAAAAUAUUGUAGAGAUGUAAGAAAUCACUUUGAAUUAUGGAGGACACUAGAAAUAGUAAUUUUUUACAGAGAAAGGGCCUCCUACCAGUAUAGUCGCUUUGAGGGUUUUGAACCUGUAAAGUUCUUUGCCAUAUUUUUUCUAUGCUAGCCACUUUUUUUCUAUUUUUUUCUUUGUUUCUCUUCUCCACUCUAUCAUCUAGAGACCUGCCUUCUUCCCAAUGAAAGGGUGUUUUGCAAAUUCUAAUGAUGAUUUAUAGGUAAAGAGAGAAAAUGAUUUUUUUUUAACCUUCAAGUUACAUACCAAGAAAAAUGAAUAUAAGCUUUCAUGGAAGUAAUUGAAAAUGCAGAUAAUUUUAAUUCCAUUCCAUUUUUCAGAAUUCUCAAUCAUAAUCCUUUGACCACAGUUGAAGAUUCUUAUCUUUUUAAAUUGCCAGCAUUAAAAUAUUUAGACAUGGGAACAACACAAGUGUCACUUACAACAAUUGAAAGCAUCCUCAUGAUGACCCUGGAAUUGGAAAAACUAUAAAGUUGCUAUGAGUAUUGGUGUACAAGUCUUUGUAUGGAUGUAUACUUCCAUUUCUCUUGGGUAAAUACCUGCAAGUAGAAUGGCUGGAUCAUUGGAUCUUACGUGGCCUGCUGCCUCUGCCAAUUUAAAAAUAUUAUUGAGGUUGUCUGUAAGACAUUCAAGCUACGUGGUGACAAUGAAUGCCUGACAGACGUAACACGUUGUGCAUUCUCUCUUCACAGUCUUUUCCUGGUUUGGCCUUCUGUAUUCUGUCUGAGUCUUCCCAAACGCAGCAGUGGGCGGUCCUGGGUUCUCUGCCAUCAUCAAGUUUUAUUCAGCAAGGGAUGCCCACAGAGCCCAAAAGGCAUGCGACCAGAAGCAGCUUUUUCACACAUCUCCAGUGAAGGUUCAUCUCGGCACCAGACAUAAGGCGGUUCAACAUAAUACACUUGCCCUAAAGAGCUCCAGAUGCCAAGAAUUGGCAAAUUACUACUUUGGUUUCCGUGGGUGGUGAAAAAGGAUCAUCAAGAAAGUGGUAAAACAGCUGUGGCAUAUAGACCCUGUGAAGAGGUCACAGAUGCUAGAACCGAAGAGGAACUACAGGAUUUAAUUCAAGUAUGUGGAGAUAAAAGCUCAAGGGGUACACAGCCAGUGUAGCCAUAAUUCAAAACAACCAGCAGGAUAUGGAAGACUUCAGCAUAUCUACUCAACUCUGUGUUCCUUAGGAAAAGGUCACCUACUUUUCAUGUCAGCCAUUUGGCCAAAGGGAGGAAGAAUGUCUCUCAGACUUCAGCUUUGAGGAGGAAGAGUUCAGAUUGUCAGAACUGGACUAGCACUUUUGAAUUUCCCAGAAUGCCAGGUCCUUUGGUUUCCACGGGAAGCUCUGCAUUGUUCCCAACACCCCU